rnacentral:rRNA from 1 species
UACGUAGGCAGCAAGCGUUGUUCGGAGUUACUGGGCGUAAAGGGUGUGUAGGCGGUUGUUUAAGUUUGGUGUGAAAUCUCUCGGCUCAACUGGGAGGGUGCGCCGAAUACUGAAUGACUAGAGUGCGGGAGAGGAAAGUGGAAUUCCUGGUGUAGCGGUGAAAUGCGUAGAUAUCAGGAGGAACACCGGUGGUGUAGACGGCUUUCUGGACCGUAACUGACGCUGAGACACGAAGGCGUGGGUAGCAAACAGG